rnacentral:lncRNA from 1 species
UUUUUUCGUAAUUAUUUUUUCUCAACCAAAAACCCCAAUUUCAACUGGAUUGUCUUUACAAAUCGUCGUCGUUAUAUUGUUAGUCGUUAACGGUGUUACAUGGCUACUCAUAUAGUUUGUUGUCAAUAUCGCUACUUCGCUCAUGAUUUUGUUGUCACUCGCCGCCAAUUCACUUGUAAUCUCGUUGUUGCUGCCGCCACUUUUAUCAUUGUCUGUCAUUCAAAUUGGUCUAAUUUCGUCAAAUCGCUUGUGUUUCCAAGCCCGUCACAGCUAAGCCACUAAUAUAUUCUUCAUACCACUUCACGAUUUCACAUGAGUAAGUUUUUCGAUUUGCUUUCAAUAGGGGAAAAUGUAAUCAAAGCUCAUAAUAGUGUAACUGCAACCAAUUCACACAAUUUAGAACAUGAUUUUAGUGUUACCUUUCUGCAAAAUUCCUGUCAAUUUCAACCUUGAAGUUUGAAAUGUGAAUAGAGUAUUUUUAACAAUAAAAAAUAGCACGUAAUAGUAUACUAAAAUAUUACUUUUUGUUUAACAUUCUUGUUUUAAAACAUGGUGUAAACAUUUUACUGGUUUAUUUUUCAUAAUUUUGUUGAAUAAACUUAUUAUGAACAAUUUUAGUGUUAGUCUAUAACUGGUUCAUGUAUCUUUUACGAUGUUUUCUUAUGUCAUUUAUUGUUUUUCCAAUUUUAAAUAUGAACUAGUAUAUGUUAUUAGUGGAAUGAUUGAAAUGGAAGUAUUUUUUGGUUUACUUUCACA